rnacentral:rRNA from 1 species
AUUGAACGCUGGCGGCAGGCCUAACACAUGCAAGUCGAGCGGAUGACGGGAGCUUGCUCCUUGAUUCAGCGGCGGACGGGUGAGUAAUGCCUAGGAAUCUGCCUGGUAGUGGGGGACAACGUUUCGAAAGGAACGCUAAUACCGCAUACGUCCUACGGGAGAAAGCAGGGGGCCUUCGGGCCUUGCGCUAUCAGAUGAGCCUAGGUCGGAUUAGCUAGUAGGUGAGGUAAUGGCUCACCUAGUCGACGUUCCGUAACUGGUCUGAGAGGAUGAUCAGUCACACUGGAACUGAGACACGGUCCAGAGUCCUACGGGAGGCAGAGGUGGGGAAUAUUGGACAAUGGGCGAGAGCCUGAUCCAGCCAAGCCGCGUGUGUGAAGAAGGCCUUCGGGUUGUAAAGCACUUUAGGUUGGGAAGAAAAAGCUUCGGCGAAUAUCCGGAGUGUUGACGGUACCAACAGAAUAAGCACCGGCUAACUCUGUGCCAGCCGCCGCCGUAA